GACUGAUUACUCUAUGCUCUUGCUGUCGAUUUGGUUUCUUCAUGUAAUUUUCUACCGUCCCUUUGUACUGUUGUGCUGAAUGCUCUUUGCCGCUCCUUGUCUCAAAGAGAGUUAUUGGAUUUAGUAAGUCUUUGCAACUGAAAGAAGAGCCUUGGCACAACGGUUGGGAUCCCUAAGGUUCUAGCUGGUGACCUGCUUUUUCUCAGUUUUUGGAGCUUACAAGCAUGCAACGGGAGGCUGUACUCUCACUGCCUCUUUUCGCUCCUGAGACAGUCAAAUUGAGUUCAGUACCAUUUCCUCCUGUUUCGGUCAACCAGGUCGUGCAACUCCUAGAACGGGUUCCUUAUGCGUUAAAUUAGUCUUGCCAUUUCAAGUUUCUUUAUGUUGAGCUGUGGAUACACAAGUACUCCAUGCUUCUCCCCGGGAGGAUUCUGUCAAGUUGCAUAAUGUGCAAAGGGCACUGUGUUUACGACAGUACAGCUAUGCUUACGCGGUGAAGUGCCGUCUGAGACGCCCAAGCAUAAUAUGGGAGUUACAAACUCUGAUCAAAAACCAUACGCUAACCGGGAGUGGAGAGUUUUACUACACACCGGAGCUUGUACACUCCAAUUCUCUUGCCAGGAGGAUGUUAAGGGCUGCUAAGUUUGCGCAUAUGGGUAAAACGAUGGUUCAUUCAUGUAACUAGAGCCUUAAAACUGUACCGGUUUUCACAUUUGUGCUGUAUAUUUGAUGACAAAUACCCUUUCUUUUUACCUACGUACCUUGGCAAGUUAAUUUUCAAAAGAUGAAUGGUGAUGUUUCUGGCGGCGGCCUCUUAAAUAAAUGUUCUUAUACUUGCACAAGGGAAUGCAAUGUUUCUUGUACCGAGAGGGAUUUCCGGGUCAUGAGGCUGAUUUAUCUCCAGAUUCUACACAAAAUAGUGCUUAGCACAGUUACUGCAGAGUCUACUAGUGGAUACUGCUGUCGUGAUUCUUUUGUACUGAGGGGUGUCCAAGAAUGUUGA